UCAACUUUCUAUUAGUCUUUUUAAUUUUAAGUUUUAUUUUUUAUUUUAAUUAAGGAGUGUUUAGAGAGUAUGGUUAGAGAUAUUUUAAGUUUAAAUCUUUUUAAUUGAUAUAAUAUAUAUAUGGUUAAUUAGAAUUUUUACUUCUUAAACUUUGACAUGCAUCAAAUUAUGUUCGUGAACUUUUAAGGUCGUUAAAAAUAACUCUUGAACUAUUAAGAUUGUUGGAUUUAAGGAUUUUUUUUUAUUUUUUUUAAAAAAAUAUCUAACAUGGAUAAAAGUUUAAGGGACAUAAUUUAGUACAUGUCAAAAUUUGGUAGGCAUGAUUUGGUAUAAACAAUCUGAAAUAGUAAAAUUGAAUGAAAUUUGACAAAAAUUCUUAAAUCUAACAAUCUCAAUAGUUCAGGGGGUAUUUUUAACGGGCAUGAUUUGAUACAUGUCAAAGUUCAGACGAUAAAAAUCUUAAUUAGCCCAUAUAUAUUUAUAUUUGAAAACAAAACAAAUAGAUUAAAGGAAAGUUUAAGUCGGUCAGGAACAUCAGAAACAAAGCCAAAUGUAAUCUAAGCUCUAUUCAAAUCCAGUUUUGUUUGUAGUACUGUACUAGUGUGUCUGAAUCAAACCAACCAUUUAAUCAGGAUGUCUGUACAUUUUGAGAUGGUGAGAUUCUUGCUAUUGUUCUCUAUCUUAUUCAGGUAUCCAUAGAGUCAUCUAAUCUAAUUACAAUUGACUGAUCUAAUAAAAUUAGAUAUUCAAAAUAAUUAGAUUGAAUCGGAUGUAAAUUUUGAAAAUCCAAUCGGAUUGGAUUGGAUGGGACAUCCGAUUCAAAACCGAUCCAAUUAUUAUUCAAUGGUCAUUUAAUUAUAUUUAUAUAUUUUUAAAAUACAUUUAUAAUUUUAGGGAAAAAAACAGGAAUAUUCUAAAAAUGGAAAAAUAUUACAACAAUACUGUGGGCCGGCCCAAUGAACAUUUGUACAGCCCAAAAUGAAAAUAUUACAAAAAUACCACUUGCCCUUACCUUCAACCGCACGUCACAAACGGAGAGGAUGAAUGAAGCUCCAUCGAUGCAGUCGGCCACGCAACCAGAAUGAAACCAGAUCGAACGUAAAACAACUGUAAAUCGCGUCGAAUUUCAAUAGGAAACGAACAAAUCCAACGAUCUAAACAGAAAUUUUUUUAAAAAAAAAAGCAGGACAACCGUGGAGAAACUGAAUUUCAACAUUUGAUUUCGGUUUUUAUAGUGCAAUAUCACUCAAACGAUCGUCGAAAAUUCAGAUUGAAGCAAUGUAAAUCUGUAUUGAACAGAUCUGGAGCUCCCCCUCAAAUCCAAAAAAAAAAGUUGCAUUAUCUUUUGAAAAUGGUUUCGAAAUCAUGAAGAAGUGUUAUAUGACAAGUACCAAGAGCUAGCAUAUAUACAAGGAAUUUAUUGUGGAAAAGAUAGAGUACAGAACAGUUUGAGAAAUGGAAUCUGGACACGAAAUACAAUGCUUGAACAAAGGAACAGAGAUAGUAGAAAGGAAAGACAUUCCAUUCCUAGUCUUCUACAAUGGAAAAUUCGAUGAUCGAAUGAAUUAUGAAAAUUAUGAAGCCAGUGGACACUACAUUU